rnacentral:SRP_RNA from 1 species
UCGUGCUAGACGGGGAGCUAGCGGUGCCCUGAACCUGCAAUCCGCUACAGCAGGGUUGAAUUCCGGCUUGAGGCCCUUGUCUGGUAGGACUACUUGGGCUAAGUGGUGUUGAAGGCUGGGUCCUGCGCGGC